UACGGAGGAUGCGAGCGUUAUCCGGAUUCAUUGGGUUUAAAGGGUGCGUAGGCGGGACAAUAAGUCAGUGGUGAAAUCCUGCAGCUUAACUGUAGAACUGCCAUUGAUACUGUUGAUCUUGAGUUCGGUUGAGGUAGGCGGAAUGUGUAAUGUAGCGGUGAAAUGCUUAGAUAUUACACAGAACACCGAUUGCGUAGGCAGCUUACUAAGCCGAGACUGACGCUGAGGCACGAAAGCGUGGGGAGCGAACAGG
rnacentral:rRNA from 1 species